AUUUAAUUAAUAUAAAAAGUAUAUUUAAUUUCCAAUUAAAAAGUUUAAUAAAUAAAUUAAAUA
rnacentral:tRNA from 1 species